ACUGUAGAAUCCAAACACUUAAAUUCGCAUUUGAUUGUUAAUUAUAACCAGAUUUACCACUAACUCAAAAAUUCAUCUUUGUCUUCGCUAGCAAAUCAAUUUCUUCACUGCUUAGCUCUAACUAAGGUUACUACAUGACCCGCGGAUCGACACCUUUGACAUGCCGACAGUUCAAGUAGGGACACCGUGAUUUGAUCCAUGCCGAAACCUUCAAAAAUCAUCUGGACAGAAAAAACUUCGUCACUUCGUCAGAAAGUUGAAUUCAGCAGCGAUCAUUUGAGCAGAUUUGCUUCAAAAAGUUUCUGAAUCAACACUUUAAGAUUUUGAGAUCUAGUGAUUUUGUGGCAAAAAAGAUGCUCUACAAAA